rnacentral:rRNA from 1 species
ACGCUCGACACCUACGGGAGGCCAGCAGUGGGGAAUAUUGCACAAUGGGGGAAACCCUGAUGCAGCGACGCCGCGUGAAGGAAGAAGUAUUUCGGUAUGUAAACUUCUAUCAGCAGGGAAGAAGAAAGUGACGGUACCUGACUAAGAAGCCCCGGCUAACUACGUGCCAGCAGCCGCGGUAAUCUGAGCGGGCUGGCAAGGC